ensembl:lncRNA
CAUAAUUAAAAAUGCUAGUAAUAUAUUAUCCUACUAAUAUCAUAUGAUAUAUUCAUUUAAUCAUUAUCUUAUAUUGUAUUAUUAUGUAGAAUUUUUUUUAGUGUACUGUAGAUACAUUGCCUGCUGAUCUGAUAUUAUAAUUAUAAUUUUGAAUAUAAUUUUUCUGUCCUCUAAGGCGAAUGAGUUUUGUGUGAGGAGCAGACUAAAAUUUAACUUCUUAUUCAUAGAAAAAUUUCCCUUUAAUUGCAGCUUUUAAGAAUAUUCUGUGUGUUUCAGAUUCUCAACCCAAACAUAUCAUUAGGUGAUUUGGUUUUUUCAGUGUUUGAACAGCUAAAAAAUACCUCAAAUAUUUCAGCCCAGAACCCACUGACGGUCUCCUGUGGUGUUUUAUCCAGACAGGCUCUUUGAUCCUCAUGUGGUGGUUUGACGUUUUUGUAGCUUUUCGUCUUUAUUUUCACAUUUCAGCAUGAGACCGUCCUAUCAAUCACAGCAACAAUGGCCGUCUCUCUCAAAUGCUCUUGAAUGACAAAUUACAGCUGGAAUGAGACAGUGGUCAGAGAGAUAUUUCCCAGUGCUGUCAGAAGAUCCCUGCACAAGAGACAGAGAGAGAGAAAACGAUCUCAUAGCUGACAAAACUACUGAACUAUUGAAGAGAGAGUUGUGUUUUGUUGAAACAAGAAGAAACACAUUGCUUGUUUUUAAUAGCUAGUACUCCCAAAAGGGUUUUGGACAUGUGCUGGAUAGCAAAAUAUAUUUAAUGAUAGUGUAAUAUAUAUUUAUGUUUUUGCAAAUCAAACUACCCUGAUAAAAAAAUUAAAAAAAUAAACGACUUCUGUAAUCGAAAUUUUGCUAUGUCAGUAAAUGCACAUGUAUCAUAGUCCAGCAAAAUAUCCAGCACUGUCAGGACUAAAGAGAGAUGUGUGUGUGUGUGUGUGUGUGUGUGUGUGUGUGUGUGUGUGUGUGUUCAGGGAGGUGGGCCAUGAGGGAUCAUGCUGUCAAAAUACUAUAUCCUCAUCUAAACAGCAGCUCCAUUUCUCUGGGUGUCCUAGUCCCUGCAGUCAUCCAACUACAGCUAAUUCACAUCACCGACAGCCCUCGCUCACAGUCCUCCCUGCCUCUCAGACUCUGCUUUUCUUCUGCUGCUCUCUGACUCAUGCCCCCGUCCCUUAGUCCUUAAUCCAUUCCAUCAUCUUCAU